rnacentral:tRNA from 1 species
AGCCCCGUAGUGUAGUGGUCAAUUUCCUUUCAGGAAGACAAUUCAUCCUGCCCUUUGGAGGCGGGGACCCAGGUUCGAAUCCUGGCGGGGCUA